CCAUCCCUGUGACUUGUGGCCCCACAUCUGUCCUGGAGCCUCUGCCCAGCUCUAGGGAUCGGCCCCUGUUCUCUUCCGGCGGCUCCAGCUCCUUCAGCAUCUUUCCUCAGGUUCUCCCAGACUUUCCCCAAAGACAGGAUGUCCUCGGCCCCAGCAGAGAGUUCGUGUCCCCAGUUCCCUCAGUCCUGGCAGGUGACGGGGCCGCAAGGAGACUGGGGACACAAGUGCAAGCGGGGAGACUCCCCGGGACAGAGCCCCCUAAAGAAGCCUUUAUCCUCCCCCUCGGCCAGAGGAGCACAGACAAGGAAUGAUGGACACACGUGGGCAGUGCUUAGUGUGGGGGCUCCACGCUGAGGGCGGGGACCCCAAUGAGCAGCGUAGACAGCCCCAACCUCAAGGGGCUCCCCUUCUCCUGGAAGUUUCAGCUGCAGGACACAUGGAAUGCUCUGGCUGGCCUGAGGGAGCAGCAGUUUAUUGCCUCUGUCUCUGUCUCUGUCUCUCUGACCCCCCCCCCUCUUUCCCAUCACCACUUAGAGUGACAAAAUCCUGUCCCUUACAGGUCAGAACUCUCCCCCAGAGCUUGUUCUUUGGGACCAGUCCCCCCUUUGCCAGUUUUCCGAAGCUGUGACUGCAGCACCUGCAGGAGCUACUCACGCUGUGUUACUUUUUGACCUUAGGCUGGGAACAGGUUUGGGUUCAAAGCUCUGGCCCAUUGUCCCUUAGGACCUGAGGGAGGAGAGUGGUUGGGGUUGUGAUUGUGGCCCCCAUACUAACUCCCAUGAUUCCUCCGAGGACUUUGGUUGCUCCAACCAGACGGCUUCAUCUGCGCUGCGGGGGGCACUUGGCUGACAGCUGCUGAGGACGGCUGUCCGUCCUCCGUGAGAGCUCCUCUCCUCCCGGAGACUUGGGAUGAGUGACCUAGAACCAGGUCCUCCGCUGCUUGAUGCGGCUGUCUGCCUUUUGGGGGCGCUGCUGAGCACUGGUUGCUGGUGGUGCUGAGGAAGAUGGGCCAUUUCUCCCAAGGAUUUCUUCCCAGGGAUGGCAGUCAGGCUUUGGCUGGCAGGAAGUCUGGAGGCUCAUGAAGCCAGCGAAGAGGAAACGAAAGCAACAAUUAGCUGCUCUUUUGCUCAACUCUGCCAGUACAUGUGACAAUGUGACAGAAAUGGAUGAAAUGGAAAUUACCAAAAUACCCGUUGUCCACAUUAACAGAAGAGGAAACAAAAUACUUAAGCAGCCCCAUUUUAGUACAAGAAAUGGAACAAGUCAUCAGUGAGCUCCCCAAGAAAAAUGUCCGGGGCUUGAUGUAUUACAAGGGAAUUCCGCCAAACAUUAAAGAACAAUUAAUUCCAAAUAAACUAUUUGAAAAAUA